AUUGAACGCUGGCGGCAUGCUUUACACAUGCAAGUCGAACGGUAACAGGUUAAGCUGACGAGUGGCGAACGGGUGAGUAAUGCAUCGGAACGUGCCCGAUCGUGGGGGAUAACGCAGCGAAAGCUGCGCUAAUACCGCAUACGAUCUGAAGAUGAAAACGGGGGACCGUAAGGCCUCGCGCGAUCGGAGCGGCCGAUGUCAGAUUAGGUAGUUGGUGGGGUAAAGGCCCACCAAGCCGACGAUCUGUAGCUGGUCUGAGAGGACGACCAGCCACACUGGGACCGAGACACGGCCCAGACUCCUACGGGAGGCAGCAGUGGGGAAUUUUGGACAAUGGGCGAAAGCCUGAUCCAGCAAUGCCGCGUGCAGGAAGAAGGCCUUCGGGUUGUAAACUGCUUUUGUACGGAGCGAAAAGGUCCUUUCUAAUACAAGGGGCUCAUGACGGUACCGUAAGAAUAAGCACCGGCUAACUACGUGCCAGCAGCCGCCGUAA
rnacentral:rRNA from 1 species